UGUUGGUUGAGAGCUAUGGUAUUUUAUCAAUUUUAUUGUUGUGAUUAUACACAAAUACAUUUUGUUAUAAUUCAUAAACUUAGGAAUAUUUUCAAUAAUAAUUAACGUUACACUGCAGUAAAAUUGUAUGUAUAGAUGACCACGUUGAAAACUACUGAUACAUACUUGAAAAAAACCUCUUUAUCACGACCAUAACGAUUAGCACAUCCAAGCACACAGCAAGUUAGUGGUAUUUUACUUACACUACUUAUACUUUUGCAAAUAAAAAUCAAGACAUAAAGUUAAAAUAUAGUAACAUUUAAAACGCAUAUCCUCAUUUGUUUAUUGUUUUUUUUUUUAUUUAAAUGUUACCAUCAAAU